GUGCCAGCAGCCGCGGUAAUACAGAGGGUGCGAGCGUUGUCCGGAAUCACUGGGCGUAAAGGGCGCGUAGGCGGCUUGACAAGCGUGCGGUGAAAGCUCGGGGCUCAACCCCGAGUCGGCCGUGCGAACUGUCAGGCUCGAGCACAGUAGAGGCAGAUGGAAUUCCGGGUGUAGCGGUGGAAUGCGUAGAGAUCCGGAAGAACACCGGUGGCGAAGGCGGUCUGCUGGGCUGUGGCUGACGCUGAGGCGCGACAGCGUGGGGAGCAAACAGGAUUAGAAACCCGCGUAGUCC
rnacentral:rRNA from 1 species